GCCUGGCUAGCUCAAUCGGUAGAGCGUUUGACUCUUAUGAAUUUCUAAAAUUGGAUAUCAAAAGGUUGCGGGUUCGACCCCCGCGUCGGGCU
rfam:Pachysolen tannophilus NRRL Y-2460 unplaced genomic scaffold PACTA_scaffold_4, whole genome shotgun sequence.